GAGGUUACCAUGGUAACAGGGCGUCAACUCACUCAGCUGACAAGUAACGAGAAGCUGUCUCUCUGCUGUUUUCACUGCUUUCAGGAGUGGUAUAGUGUCUUCAAAAAGACCGUUAGCAUCACAACCGUUAACUACAGAGGCUAACAAUUAGAGGAGCGUCAGAAAAAAAUACCUAAAACAGGGGAAGUUACAAAACAAUUUGUAAUGUGAGCUGCUGACAGAGAUACAGGAAACACAGAGCUGGAGCGGAGCAGAUCUCCUGUCGAAGAACAUCUCCAAAGCACCAUGAACCAUCUGACUAGGCAGUUCGUGAAGACGGAUAACCUGGACAGAAGUCGGUUCCAGAUCCAGCCUCCACACCAGACAUCUCACUCACAAGGAUUGCUGUCUACUAGAUAUUAUGUGUACUCUUCAGACUUAGGUUCAUGCAGAUAUUAUUCAGGGACAUGAACAUUUCAAUACUGCAAAAAUAGAGAAACUACCUUAUUUAAGAAUUUUGUGUUAAUUGUGUGAACAUUAAACAAAUAUAUAUUUAUUUUACUGUUUUUUGUUUUGUAUUCCAAAGCACCUAAAAGCCAAUUCACACUGCCAUACUCCAACAGGCUGAACACGCUGACCAAGCAAAACAAAUAAGCAUGUUUUUAUAGUUUUUGUGAAAGUGUGAACUGACAAUGCUGUAUGUUAGG